GAUGAAUAACGUAGUGAAAUGCGAUACUUGGUGUGAAUUGCAGAAUCCCGUGAACCAUCGAGUCUUUGAACGCAAGUUGCGCCCGAAGCCACUAGGCCGAGGGCACGCCUGCCUGGGCGUCACACGCCGUUGCCCCCCCAUCUACUCCUUCGGGAUUGCGGGGGGGCGGAUGAUGGCCUCCCGUGCGCCUAGCCGCGCGGUUGGCAUAAAUACCAAGUCCUCGGCGACGCACGCCACGACAAUCGGUGGUUGCGAAACCUCGGUUGCCCGUCGUGUGCGUUCGUCGCGCAUCGAGGGCUCGAAAAAAUGCUCGGCUCCGGCUGGGCUUUCAACGCGACCCCAGGUCAGGCGGGGUUACCCGCUGAAUUUAAGCAUAUCAAUAAGCGGAGGA
rnacentral:misc_RNA from 1 species